UUCGCUUUAUUUUUUAAAAGACAAAUAAAAAAUUAACUGAACACACGUGUUUUCCUACCAUUCUCAUAUACUUUUUAAAAAUCCCUCCAUUUUCUUCCUUCCUUUACGUUGGAAAAAUUCUUAAUAAAUAACGCCUGCUUGAAAGACAUCAGAAACUCAUUUUGAGGACUGAGUUUGUAGAAGACAAGGCAGAGAGAUGAGUGGGCAGAGUUGGGCUGAAAUUUUUAAAUUCCUGCACGGCAAAGCAACUGUGCGUGUCUGUUUUCAAACAAUAAAAGCGUCUGGAACCGCACAAUGAUGCAGAGCCAUGCGAGGAGCGAGGAGCAGGCAGCUGGUGGGCUCCGCGUCACAAAGGCUGCCGGGGCAGCACGCGAGCCAGAGUCACGACCAGCCCAGGUCCCAGGCUCGCUGCUGCCUCAAAUCUCAUCCGGUCCCAAAGCCAGCUGCCCUGCGGAGAGAAGCCGACCGGCACCGGGCACAUCUCCGGGAGGGCGAGGCUGGGACAAAAACCUUGCUAAUUCUUGAGUACAUCUGGAACCACAAACUGGAACACUGACGGAAGCAAGAAAAUGGACGAUUCUCAUCCUUGGGAAACAGUACGUUGUAAUGCAGGAGUCACUGCAGUCUUGCUGUCUGAGAAGGAUUUGACAAGCUGACCUUUAAAAAAAAUGACACCGAUGGGAGGAUGUCGUGGUGAUGGUGGAGGCAGAGCUGUGAAGAACUGAGAGGCUGUUAGAAAACUGUGGUGGAACGGUGGCUGGGGAAAAGUUCUGGAGGACUAAAGUCCAAAAUCAAGGUGUCGACCGGGUUGGUUUCCCUGAGAGCCACAAGUGAAGGAUCUGUCCCAGGCAUCUCUCCUUGGCUGGAAAAGAUCCUGAUGUCCAGGCCACUCCCAGACCAAUGAAAUCAGAGUCUCCGAGGGUGCAGUCCACGCAUCAGCGCGUGGCCCUGGUGACGACUAAGUGCAGCCAAGUCGCGGUUUAUUAUAAGGCAGUUCAUAGAUGCUGCUGCUGCUAGCAUUUCAUCUGCUGAGUAUCAUGCUCAGUAGAAACAGCCGUCCGAGGUACAGCCCUGCGGGACUUUGAGUGUUAAUGCUGGGUACAUAGUGAUGAGGCUUUUUUAAAGCCUUGAAAUGGGGCCAAGUGGUAUUACCUAAGGAACGUAAGUAACAUUCAGUGUGUGAGCCUAAGCCUUGGCUAUGGGAGGAGGGGCGAGUAGGGGAAGCACAUGAUGUUAAACUAGGCUAAUGGGUUUAAUUUCCCUUUGUUUUCCUAGAUUUCUUGGCAAAUAGAAAAAGUUCUCUUGGUUUUCUGUUUAAAGUUCAUGACAGAUACCCUAAGUGUUUGUAAAACAUCUGCCAACCACACCGAUGAGCUCUCACACAAAGAUUUUGGAGAUACAGACUGAUUUCCUUUGGUGACUACAACAGAUUUUUUUUUUUUUUUUUUUUAGUUACUACAAUUGAUUUUAUCGCUAUAAUUUUCUUCUCUGUCAUCUUAUUUUAAACAAACAAAAACUGUGGCACAAAAAUAAAGUGAUGGUUUUUGAGGAAAA